rnacentral:tRNA from 1 species
UCACCUUCCCAAAAAUUAAUUAGAAAAAAAUUUUUUUUUAAAAUGCCCAAAAGGAGAUUUGAACUC